AAGUCGUAACAAGGUUUCCGUAGGUGAACCUGCGGAAGGAUCAUUAAAAAAGUACGCCCCAGCUAAGGUGUAAAAACGCUGACUGCUGGUGGCUGUAUUCAACCACUUGUUUACUUGUACCUGUUGCUUCCGUGGAGUUACGGGUGCUCGCCCUGUUCGCAGGUGUGGGUUACCUUCCACGGGUGUAAUUUGAACGCUUGUUUAGUUGCAUGUAGUGUCUGAAUAACUAUUUUAAUAAAGUUAAAACUUUCAACAACGGAUCUCUAGGUUCUC
rnacentral:misc_RNA from 1 species